rnacentral:tRNA from 1 species
GGGUUCUUAGCUCAGUUGGCUAGAGCGCAGCAUUCACAUUGCUGAGGUCACAGGUUCGAGCCCUGUAGGACCCACCA